GACGAACGCUGGCGGCGUGCUUAACACAUGCAAGUCGAACGAAGUGGCGAACGGGUGAGUAACGCGUAAUCAACCUGCCCUUCAGAGGGGGACAACAGUUGGAAACGACUGCUAAUAACGCAUACUGAAGGAGGGGAUUGCGUCUGGUUUGUUAGUUGGAGGGGUAACGGCCCACCAGGGCGAUGAUCAGUAGCCGUUCUGAGGGGAUGGACGGCCAAAUUGGGACUGAGAUACGGCCCAGACUCCUACGGGAGGCAGCAGUGGGGAAUCUUCCGCAAGGGACGAAAGUCUGACGGAGCAACGCCGCGUGAGUGAUGAUGGCCUUCGGGUUGUAAAGCUCUGUUAAUCGGGACGCGGUACCGGAAUAGAAAGCCACGGCUAACUACGUGCCAGCAGCCGCGGUAAUAC
rnacentral:rRNA from 1 species